GACGAACGCUGGCGGCGUGCUUAACACAUGCAAGUCGAACGGAAAGGCCCUGCUUUUGUGGGGUGCUCGAGUGGCGAACGGGUGAGUAACACGUGAGUAACCUGCCCUUGUCUUUGGGAUAAAUUCAGGAAACUGGGGCUAAUAUCGGAUAGGAGCUCCUGCUGCAUGGUGGGGGUUGGAAAGUUUCGGCGGUUGGGGAUGGACUGGCGGGUUAUGAGCUUGAUGGUCGGGUAGGGGCUUACCAAGGCUUCGACGGGUAGGCGGCCUGGGCGGGUUACCGGCGACAUUGGGACUAAGAUAGGGACCAGACUCGUACGGGAGGCAAAAGUGGGAAAUAUUGCAGAAUAGGCGGAAGCCAGAUGCGACAGCGCCGGGUUCGGGAUGACGGCCUUCUGGUUAUAAACCGCUUUCGCCGGUGACGAAGCGUUAUUGACGGUAAUGAGUAAAGAAGCACCGGCUAACUACGUG
rnacentral:rRNA from 1 species